rnacentral:misc_RNA from 1 species
UUACACAAUAACCAGGCGGGCUGGACACCCCCCGCUGGGCACUGCUUCACGGCGUGCGCGGCGGGGCCGGCCCUGCUGAAUUAUUCACCCGUGUCUUUUGCGUACUUCUUGUUUCCUGGGUGGGCUCGCCCGCCCUCAGGACCAACCACAAACCUUUUGCAAUAGCAAUCAGCGUCAGUAACAACGUAAUUAAUUACAACUUUCAACAACGGAUCUCUUGGUUCUGGCAUCGAUGAAGAACGCAGCGAAAUGCGAUACGUAGUGUGAAUUGCAGAAUUCAGUGAAUCAUCGAAUCUUUGAACGCACAUUGCGCCCUUUGGUAUUCCAAAGGGCAUGCCUGUUCGAGCGUCAUUUGUACCCUCAAGCUUUGCUUGGUGUUGGGCGUCUUUUGUCUCCAGUUCGCUGGAGACUCGCCUUAAAGUCAUUGGCAGCCGGCCUACUGGUUUCGGAGCGCAGCACAAGUCGCGCUCUUCGCCAGCCAAGGUCAGCGUCCAGCAAGCCUUUUUUUCAACCUUUGACCUCGGAUCAGGUAGGGAUACCCGCUGAACUUAAGCAUAUCAAUAA